rnacentral:rRNA from 1 species
UACGUAGGGUGCGAGCGUUGUCCGGAAUUAUUGGGCGUAAAGAGCUCGUAGGUGGUUUGUUACGUCUGCUGUGAAAUCCCGGGGCUUAACCCCGGGCGUGCAGUGGAUACGGGCAGGCUGGAGGCAGGCAGGGGAGAACGGAAUUCCCGGUGGUAGCGGUGGAAAUGCGCAGAGUAUCGGGAGGAACACCGGUGGCGAAGGCGGUUCUCUGGGCCUGUACUGACGCGAGG